rnacentral:lncRNA from 1 species
GCACGAUCCCGCGUGCUGCUGGCCAGAUCGUGCCCAGAUUUUCGUAUCCGACUAUAAAGCCACGCUCCUGGACUCCCUCCCCUCCCCAACAAACUAGCACCGACCCCAAGACAACCAUCGCCAACUCCAUUGCCGCCGCAGUAACAAGAACACGGUCUGUCGUCGGUGAAUCUCUUCCCCAUGGGUUCCCUGUCCUCGGUGUUGGUCAAGGGGAAUCUUCUUCGCCUGGGGGAGCUGCUGGUGCCCUCAAUUCAAGUUGAACUCCACCGACACUCAAGCAAUUGCUCGCCAGACUUCCCAUACGCCGCAGAGCCGCACUGCGCCGAGGACCGGCUUCGACUCGCGUCCUGAGCUGGUAUUGUUCCUCCCCUGUUGUUCGGAAUAGUAUGCACUUCGUUUAGCACACUUUGGAUUGGUGUCUGGGGUGCCGGAGUGACCGACGCGCGCUGCUCCGGCGAUGCUCCACCGUCUGUCGUGCGCGCGCCGUCGUAUUAGCGGGUUAGGGAGAAUAAGAUGGGUCUCGUCCGUUGAUCUCGGAGUGGACGGCCCCGAUUAGGAGAUGGAUAACAGUUUGAUUCGAAACAAUCCGAACCACAGACCUGUAGAUGGGCGGAGGAAAAGAGUUAGCGCAUAUUUAAAAUCUCCGCCGUUGAUAUCUGAUCGUGUGGUGAUCGUCGCGUAUCGGUUCGGGAUGAGCGCGGAUGUAAUCUGGACCAUAGGAAGUUGAUCGGGCGGUCGAGAACCGCGGAUACCCCUUCGCGAAUGCAAUUUGCCAUAUAAGCCCCUCGGUUUUCAAAGAAACAACCCACCGUCCACCACGCGUUAGAUCUGAGUCUGUGGGGAUUUUGCGAUCUAGCCCUGCACCUUUCUGGUAUUUGACGCCUAGUCCAGAGAACAGAAAACCAGAGAAAAUAAAUUAGAAAUAGAUUUUUAGUGCAAAAAUAAUUGCUAGAACUUGUAUAAAUCAUAGAAAAUUCAUGUGAACUCCAAAUUGAUCCAUUCCAGUUUCUAAAAUUUUGUAACAUUAUUGUUUAUCACCUAGAGUCUCUAUUUUGACAUGAAAACAAUAGUAAAAUUAAUUUCUCACUUAAUCAUAUAUCAAGCACAUAAACCUUUGGAAAUUCAUAAUUUAAAACACAUAACUCCAAAAUUAAUGAUUCCUGUUCCUAGGAUCUUAUUUUAAUGUGUAGAUUAUUAUUAUGUAUUUUGUUUACAUGUUUGGUGUGAUGUUAAUUUCUCCUUUAUACUGUGCUUGUUUGUAUUGUGGCGAGUAGAAGAGCUAGUGGCUGCGGAUUCUGGUGCCCAGCAGAUAGAGUUGCUGAGCAGGAGCUCAUUGAAGGCAAGUUGUGCCCUUGAUCACUUCUUUAUACCCAGUCAUAUUCUUAUUAAUCAUAAUGAUCUGCAUAGGUUAAUUUUGAUGGGACCCUUUUAGGUUACCCUAGUUUGAUUAUCUUUGUACCUUGAAUCCACUUAACUUUUUGGGUAGUACUUGCAAUUGCUUUAUGUGGUUUUGGGUAUGGAGAUACAUUAUUCAUGAUUACACUUUUAUUAUCAGUAUAUUAUUACUAUUCAUGUUAAGAUCAUUAUGUUAAUGGGAACAUGGAGCGACCACUCGGGAAAACAGUGCUACCACAAGGGUAGUAUGGGAUGCCCUUGGCUGAUUAACUAGGAAAGCUAGUGGAUGUAUCCUUACCCGAUAGGGGCAAGGGCAGUAGGGGAGUGGUUAGUGUAGGGAGGUCCUUGGGUUGAUUUUGCUGUGAUGGCGGUCAGGCGAGAGAUCCCUGCACUGUAGCUUCCUAUAAACUGUAGCGAGUUUUCUGAAGCUAGUGGAACUUUGUAAAGGCCUCAUAGUGUUACCCUGCCUCGCCUCCUCGGUAGAGGUGUAUGUGAUUGGUCGUCUCUUGGCAGAUGGGUAACAUGACUUGUGUGUAAAGAUGCGCAACCUCUAUAGAGUGUAAAACUGGUAUACUAGCCGUGCUCACGGUCAUGAGCUGCUCGGACCCUCACAUGAUUUAUCUAUGGAAUUAAAACUCAAUUUGUCAUUUGCAUCACAUUGGGAUUAUUUUGUUUUUACUUUUUAUUUAUUAUUACUAUGGUUUGGUAUUCACUUACACUUAGUAACUGCUAAUAAAAUUUUGAGCAACUUAAAAAAGCAAUGCUCAGCUUCAACCUUUAUUUUGUUGAUCAGCCUUACACUUCACAUGAACUCCCACCUUUGGUGAGUUCAUGCACAUUAUUCCCCACAACUUGUUGAGCUAUGAACGUAUGUGAGCUCACCCUUGCUGCCUCACACCCCCAUAGGAGAAGAACAGGUGGUUCAAGAGGAGCCGCCCAGCGAGGAGUUCAACUUAAUCUAGGUGGCGUCUCCUAGUCAGCUUUGUGGCGCCAGGGAAAUAAGAUCUAGUUCGUUUUAUAUUUAUCAUUUAUUUUGUAAGACUUCCGCUAUGUAAUAGGUACUCUAAUGAUAUUGUGACAUUUAUCUCUAUACACUCUGUUAUUAUAUGUGUUGUCUUCUUUAGCACAUAUAUGAGAUGCACCCGGCAUUGUCUCUUAAAU